rnacentral:rRNA from 1 species
GAUGAACGCUGGCGGCGUGCCUAAUACAUGCAAGUCGAGCGAACAGACGAGGAGCUUGCUCCUCUGACGUUAGCGGCGGACGGGUGAGUAACACGUGGAUAACCUACCUAUAAGACUGGGAUAACUUCGGGAAACCGGAGCUAAUACCGGAUAAUAUAUUGAACCGCAUGGUUCAAUAGUGAAAGACGGUUUUGCUGUCACCUAUAGAUGGAUCCGCGCCGCAUUAGCUAGUUGGUAAGGUAACGGCUUACCAAGGCAACGAUGCGUAGCCGACCUGAGAGGGUGAUCGGCCACACUGGAACUGAGACACGGUCCAGACUCCUACGGGAGGCAGCAGUAGGGAAUCUUCCGCAAUGGGCGAAAGCCUGACGGAGCAACGCCGCGUGAGUGAUGAAGGUCUUCGGAUCGUAAAACUCUGUUAUUAGGGAAGAACAAAUGUGUAAGUAACUAUGCACGUCUUGACGGUACCUAAUCAGAAAGCCACGGCUAACUACGU